rnacentral:snRNA from 1 species
GAUGUAUCCCUUUCACACU